GGUCAAUGCAAGGUAUUUUUAAACCCUGAAGCUAUGGGAAAAAUCAUCGAUGUUGCAACUCUUCUGGGUAGAUCUAGAGGUUUGGCAUUCAUUGAUUGCUCUGCCAGUUCUGAGCCUAUUGGAGUGCUAAACUGAGUGGUAGAUUUGGGUUGUUGUGUUGUGAUGGCCAAUAAGAAGCCUCUUAGUUCUUCAAUGGAAGAUUAUGAUAAGUUGCUUGCAUAUCCACGUCGCAUUCGACAUGAGUCAACUGUGAGUGUGCUUUUUACGUGGUUGGUGCAGAUAGAAGUGUUUUUACACCUUGGAACAUAGAUAACAUAUGAAUGUAAUGGUCGGAGACUAUUGUUGUGCAAUAGUGAGUGGACAGAUGAUUAUGACUUGCAGAUCAAAACUGAAAUUUUUGCUAAUCUCUUCUUUGUCUUUUAGAGCUAAUAUUCAAGACUGAAAUUGUGAUUCAGUUGAUGAAAUUAUACUAAAUUGAAAUACAUUGUUGCAUUCUUUCACAUAUUACUGCAAUUACGAACCAGUUAAGAUGUAUAAAGUCUCUUAAUGUAGGUUUAAAUAUUUCAGCUUGUAUGCUUUCUGUUUGAUGUAGAGAUGGGUCUGCCAAUAUUAGCAUUCAACCAGUUAUGACUUAUGAAUGUCUUCCAUACACUGUUUGUAAGCGGUUUGUAAUAAAUUCUUCAGUGGUUUUGGUGGUACUUGGAAGA